AUUGAACGCUGGCGGCAUGCUUUACACAUGCAAGUCGAACGGCAGCGCGGGCUUCGGCCUGGCGGCGAGUGGCGAACGGGUGAGUAAUGCAUCGGAACGUGCCCAGUAGUGGGGGAUAGCCCGGCGAAAGCCGGAUUAAUACCGCAUACGACCUGAGGGUGUAAGCGGGGGACCGAAAGGCCUCGCGCUAUUGGAGCGGCCGAUGUCGGAUUAGCUAGUUGGUGGGGUAAAGGCUUACCAAGGCGACGAUCCGUAGCUGGUCUGAGAGGACGACCAUCCACACUGGGACUGAGACACGGCCCAGACUCCGACGGGAGGCGGCAGUGGGGAAUUUUGGAAGAUGGGGGCAAUCCUGAUCCAGCCAGGCCGCGUGCGGGAAGAAGGCCUUCGGGUUGUAAACCGCUUUUGUUCGGGAAGAAAUCCUCUGGGCUAAUACCCCGGGGGGAUGACGGUACCGGAAGAAUAAGCACCGGCUAACUACGUG
rnacentral:rRNA from 1 species